GGAAAUGUAAAUGAGCUAAAAACCUAAUAAAAAUGGGGGGGGAAAAAAGAAGCGCUGUUGCUUUUGUUGCCCACAUGCUUUCCUGUAUAAACAGGUCUCAGUGAUUCCAAGAUUCUGGGUUUGCUAGGGCUUGCCUUUGUCCUUUGGCCCUAUUUCUGCUAGCACACUACCCAUCCCCCCCUUUUUUUUUGAACAGAUGUUGAGUUCCACUCGCCAGUGAUCUCAAAAUCCUGGGUGUGGUAGGGUGCCUGCAGUGGAGAGAGUCCUCUGGCAACCUUUGUACCCUCAGCCAAGAUUGCAUCCAAGAUGCCAUGGGGGUGGCACCAACUGGAAUGAACCCCAACCUCUGUUUGGUAAAAUCCACAAUGAGAGGUGUGGUCAAUACAACAAUGGAAAUUGCCAUGGACUGGACUCAGUCGGUCCUUCCACCCACAAGGAACCAGGAUUUCGGCAAUCAGUGGCAGAGGAAUUCACCAAGGAAGAAGUGAAACAGCUUAGCCAAGUUUUAAAAUCUUCAAAAGGCUUCUACCCUGACCUUCAGUGGAAGUACCUACAGAUUCUCAGUCCCAAGGGUAUGCCUGCAUCCUGCAUUUCAUACUCAUAAAAGGACUUUUCUCUGGAAAGAUGGCUUUACAUCACCUGUCAUAUCCAAGAAGAAUCGCCAGCUAUUCCGUUCAAUGUUCCUAAUUGUUGUCAGAAAAUGACCUAAAACUCUGACACAGAAUUUUUCAAAGUCAGGCUUCCACAAGGCACGUACAUUUAUCAACGUUUACGCCACAUGCACCUAAGCUGCAGCACUUGUGAAGGUCUGUUUUUAUUUAAUUCUCAAGAUUUUGUUGUUAAUGGGAAAACUGUCUCAUAAAUUAGGGAAGUGCUCAAUUACAGUCCUGACAGAGAUUGAUUCCCAUUUCGCUGCUGGUCAGUACCAGCAAGUGAAGGCCGAGGAAACCACAACUCCUGCUAAUGUUGGCACCACUUCAAAGGUGACCAUGAACAAGUGGUCAUUACCAAUUAGGAUAGUCCUUGGCCACAAGCCUGGGAACUGUUUGUAUUUGAUAGCGACCAUCUGUAUGAGAAUUCCUUCAUUGUGUGGUUAUGGAUGCUCAUGGUAUAGAAUACAUCUUCAAAUGAUUUGCA